rnacentral:rRNA from 1 species
GAUGAACGCUGGCGGCGUGCCUAAUACAUGCAAGUCGAGCGAACAGAUGAGGAGCUUGCUCCUCUGACGUUAGCGGCGGACGGGUGAGUAACACGUGGAUAACCUACCUAUAAGACUGGGAUAACUACGGGAAACCGGAGCUAAUACCGGAUAAUAUAUUGAACCGCAUGGUUCAAUAGUGAAAGACGGUUUUGCUGUCACUUAUAGAUGGAUCCGCGCCGCAUUAGCUAGUUGGUAAGGUAACGGCUUACCAAGGCAACGAUGCGUAGCCGACCUGAGAGGGUGAUCGGCCACACUGGAACUGAGACACGGUCCAGACUCCUACGGGAGGCAGCAGUAGGGAAUCUUCCGCAAUGGGCGAAAGCCUGACGGAGCAACGCCGCGUGAGUGAUGAAGGUCUUCGGAUCGUAAAACUCUGUUAUUAGGGAAGAACAAAUGUGUAAGUAACUAUGCACGUCUUGACGGUACUUAAUCAGAAAGCCACGGCUAACUACGUG